UUGAACGCUGGCGGAACGCUUUACACAUGCAAGUCGAACGGUAACGCGGAGAGAAGCUUGCUUCUCUCCGGCGACGAGUGGCGAACGGGUGAGUAAUACAUCGGAACGUGUCCGCUCGUGGGGGACAACCAGCCGAAAGGUUGGCUAAUACCGCAUGAGUUCUACGGAAGAAAGAGGGGGACCCGCAAGGGCCUCUCGCGAGCGGAGCGGCCGAUGACUGAUUAGCCGGUUGGUGAGGUAACGGCUCACCAAAGCAACGAUCAGUAGCUGGUCUGAGAGGACGACCAGCCACACUGGGACUGAGACACGGCCCAGACUCCUACGGGAGGCAGCAGUGGGGAAUUUUGGACAAUGGGCGCAAGCCUGAUCCAGCUAUUCCGCGUGUGGGAUGAAGGCCCUCGGGUUGUAAACCACUUUUGUAGAGAACGAAAAGACACCUUUUAAAAAAGGGUGUUGCUGACGGUACUCUAAGAAUAAGCACCGGCUAACUACGUGCCAGCAGCCGCGGUAAUACGUAGGGUGCGAGCGUUAAUCGGAAUUACUGGGCGUAAAGGGUGCGCAGGCGGUUGAGUAAGACAGAUGUGAAAUCCCCGAGCUUAACUCGGGAAUGGCAUAUGUGACUGCUCGACUAGAGUGUGUCAGAGGGAGGUGGAAUUCCACGUGUAGCAGUGAAAUGCGUAGAUAUGUGGAAGAACACCGAUGGCGAAGGCAGCCUCCUGGGACAUAACUGACGCUCAGGCACGAAAGCGUGGGGAGCAAACAGGAUUAGAUACCCUGGUAGUCCACGCCCUAAACGAUGUUAACUAGUUGUUGGGAAGUAAAAUUCUCAGUAACGCAGCCAACGCGAGAAGUUAACCGCCUGGGAAGUACGGUCGCAAGACUAAAACUCAAAGGAAUUGACGGGGACCCGCACAAGCGGUGGAUGAUGUGGAUUAAUUCGAUGCAACGCGAAAAACCUUACCUACCCUUGACAUGUCAGGAAGCUCUUGUAAUGAGAGCGUGCCCGCAAGGGAGCCUGAACACAGGUGCUGCAUGGCUGUCGUCAGCUCGUGUCGUGAGAUGUUGGGUUAAGUCCCGCAACGAGCGCAACCCUUGUCACUAGUUGCUACGAAAGGGCACUCUAGUGAGACUGCCGGUGACAAACCGGAGGAAGGUGGGGAUGACGUCAAGUCCUCAUGGCCCUUAUGGGUAGGGCUUCACACGUCAUACAAUGGUCGGAACAGAGGGCAGCGAAGCCGUGAGGCGGAGCCAAUCCCAGAAAACCGAUCGUAGUCCGGAUUGCAGUCUGCAACUCGACUGCAUGAAGUCGGAAUCGCUAGUAAUCGCGGGUCAGCAUGCCGCGGUGAAUACGUUCCCGGGUCUUGUACACACCGCCCGUCAAACAAUGGGAGUGGUGUUUACCAGAAGUCGUUAGCCUAACCGCAAGGAGGGCGGCGACCACGGUGAGCACCGUGACUA
rnacentral:rRNA from 1 species